UAUGAAGUGGUGCAAGAUGAGGCCGAUGAGUUUGCAAUGAAAGAAGAUGAAGAACCUCGUGAGCUCUUUCGGAGAGUAACCAAACUCGCGAUCUCACUCCGAGAUCAUGGGAGCAAGGACACGGAUGACAAUUGGAUCAAGCGCAAGUUCCUCAAGGCCAUGAUGCCCUACAACAAGGCCAUGUCCUCCGUCAUCCGUCAAAGACCGGACUUCCACUCCAUGACCUCAAAUGAAGUGUUGGAUGAGUUCGUGGCAAUUAGCAUCUUGGACAAGACCGCUGACAACGCGGUGUUGCAUUCUUAA
rnacentral:rRNA from 1 species